rnacentral:rRNA from 1 species
AAAUUGAAGAGUUUGAUCAUGGCUCAGAUUGAACGCUGGCGGCAGGCCUAACACAUGCAAGUCGAACGGUAACAGGAAGAAGCUUGCUUCUUUGCUGACGAGUGGCGGACGGGUGAGUAAUGUCUGGGAAAUUGCCUGAUGGAGGGGGAUAACUACUGGAAACGGUAGCUAAUACCGCAUAACGUCGCAAGACCAAAGAGGGGGACCUUCGGGCCUCUUGCCAUCGGAUGUGCCCAGAUGGGAUUAGCUUGUUGGUGGGGUAACGGCUCACCAAGGCGACGAUCCCUAGCUGGUCUGAGAGGAUGACCAGCCACACUGGAACUGAGACACGGUCCAGACUCCUACGGGAGGCAGCAGUGGGGAAUAUUGCACAAUGGGCGCAAGCCUGAUGCAGCCAUGCCGCGUGUAUGAAGAAGGCCUUCGGGUUGUAAAGUACUUUCAGCGGGGAGGAAGGGAGUAAAGUUAAUACCUUU